AUGGCUGGAUUCACUGAUGCACUGAGGCCGGAUAAGUUUACCGGUGUGCACUUUAAGAGGUGGCAGGUGAAGACCACACUCUGGCUUACUGCUCUGAAAGUUUUCCAUGCUAGUGUUGGUGCUCCAGAGGGAAUGGCCGACGAAGAUCGGAGAAAAUUCCAGGAAGCCAAUACUAUGUUUGUGGGAUGCAUUCUGAGUGUUCUUGCUGACCAUCUGUGUGAUGUGUACAUGCACAUAAACGACGGAAAAAUUCUGUGGGAUGCACUGAAUGCAAAAUUCGGUGCAACAGAUGCAGGCAGUGAACUGUACAUCAUGGAGAGUUUUCAUGACUACAAGAUGGUGAAUAACCGUUCUGUGGUUGAACAAGCUCAUGAGAUACAGUGCAUUGUGAAGGAACUUGAACUCCUUAAAUGUGUUCUACCCAACAAAUUCAUGGCUGGGUGCAUGAUUGCAAAGUUGCCUCCUUCAUGGAGGAAUUUCGCCAUAACUCUGAAGCAUAAGAGACAGGAGAUAUCAGUUGAAAAUCUGAUUGCAUCUCUUGAUGUUGAAGAAAAAGCUCGGGCUAAAGAUACCACUGAAAAAGGAGGUGAGGUUCAGCCUACUGCUAACAUGGUGCAGAGGUACCCACAGAACAAGAACAAAGGGAAGAAUAAACCUGUUGUUAACAAGCCUACCAAGACUACUACCUUCAAGAAGAAGAAGUUCAACAAGGCUGAGCUAGAGUGCUACGCCUGUGGGAAGCCUGUACACUUUUCCAAGGAAUGCCCUGAACGUGCAGACCGCAGAUGGAAAACAAGCUCCAAGACUGUCAACAUGGUGACCGCUAGCAAUACUGAUGGGUAUGGUAAUUUACCUAUUGUGCUUUCAGUAUUUCAAUCAUCUUCGUGGUGGAUUGAUUCGGGUGCUAACGUUCAUGUGUGUGCUGACAUCUCCCUGUUUACUUCUUAUCAGGUCGCAAGGGAUUCUUCCGUCCUAAUGGGGAAUGGAUCACAUGCUUCUGUUCGUGGCAUUGGCACGGUGGAUCUGAAGUUUACUUCGGGAAAGAUCGUGCAACUAAGGAACGUGCAGCAUGUCCCUACUAUGAAUAAGAAUCUAGUUAGCGGCUCCCUUCUAUGUCGAGAUGGAUUUAAGGUAGUUUUAGAGUCCAAUAAAGUAAUCGUGUCAAGAUUUGGACAAUUUAUAGGAAAAGGCUAUGAGUGCGGAGGCUUGUUCCGCUUUUCUCUUUCAGAUUUUUGCAAUAAGUCAAUAAACCAAAUUUGUGCUAGUGUUAAUGAUGAUGCAAGUAUUUGGCACUCUCGUUUAUGUCAUAUUAAUUUUGGUUUAAUGUCUCGGCUAUCCAGCAUGAGUUUAAUUCCGAACUUCACAGUUGCCAAAGGUUCUAAGUGCCAUAGUUGUGUGCAAUCUAAGCAACCUCGAAAGCCUCAUAAGGCUGCCGAGGAGAGAAACUUGGCGCCUCUAGAACUCAUACAUUCUGAUCUUUGUGAAUGGUGUCUUGACAAAAGGCGGAAAGAGAUAUUUCAUGACUUUGAUUGA
rnacentral:rRNA from 1 species